CUAGCAAGAGGAAGGUCGUGAGUACGAUUCCCGGUACCGGAAAAAAGCCAAAAAAACAGAAAAGUACAGCAGGAAUUAGCUACAAGACAGCUGCAGCUGGGAUUUUCCAGCUGACUUCCAUCUGGACAGGACUAUGGCGCUUCUGAAAGAUCCUCAGCAGAGCCCAAAUGGCUGACGGUGUAGGUCGCAAAGAAGGACAGAUGGCAAGCCACUCACCUACUGAAUAUGUUACAGAAAAUUUGAGACAAGCAAGACAUUUAUCAGACUUGCAGUCCUGGGGGAAAUUUCUCACCGCAGGCCUGUCAAAGAAGAUAUUCUAGGAAACAGCACAGUCGGAAAUUUCAGAUGCAUGGUUGAGCAACUCUUCAAGUAAAGAUGUAUAGAGAAGGAGUUACAACAAUAAGAUGAACAUCUCUACUUCCUCCAAAAACUCAACCAAAAUGAACAGAUCUUAGCACAAAUGAAACAAAUCUGUAAAGCACUUAACAGAAAUAUGAGGAAACAUAUGGAUAUGUGUUAAUCAUUUAGUACAGAAAUAUCAAAAAUAAAUGGGUAGGGCAUCAAUAUCCAAAGUUGGGAGUAAAGUCUGGCGUGAUGGUGCAUAUGUAUAAUCCCAGCACACAGGAGGCUGAGGCAGGAGGAUGGUGACUUCAAGGCCAUAGUGAGGUAACAUAGUGAGGUCAAGCUUAGACUGGGCUGCAUAGAGAGAUCCUGUCUCAAAAAACAAAAGUGAAAGCUAGAAAGGUUUGGGGAUAUAGUUUAAUGUCAUGGUCCUGGGUUUAUUCCCAAGUACUGGGGAAUGAGGAUUUUUUUGUAAAUUUUGUUUAACAGCUACUUUUCCAUAUCCUUUCUUACUUCUCAUGCAUCAGUAACUGAUCCUAUGUAAGCCUUGGAAAUUACAAGACAGUUUUUCCAAGAGUGAAUCAAAGGUUCUGCAUACAGACAGAAUUAAAGCAAAAGUGAGGUAUUUUCCAGAGAGGUGAAUUGAGAGAAUUUCUGGAUAGUAAAUGUAGAACUCUUUGAGCCUUUUCAUGGUUCAUUUCCAGAGAUCUGAAAGAUACAGCUAAAAUAUUCUAUCAGGAUACCAGGAAAAAAAAAAAAACUUUGAAAUCCAAACUCUAAAUUUUAGAAAACAAAGAAAAAAGGAAAAAUUUUUAAAAUAAUAAUAUUUUAAAAUCUCCUUGACCUAAGUACUAUGAGCAUCUGAAAGGGCAUCAGUAGGACCACACCAUGGAUAAAACACCACUUUGCAUCAAGACAUGUUGUAGUGACCCUUCUGAAUGCUCAUAAAAUGGUGACAAGUGCUUUAAAGAGAGUAAAUUACAUCUACAGCUGUAGUGUACUCUUAAUAGUAACACUCAUUGAAGUGGUGUUGAUUGUAUAGAGUCUUUAGAAUGCUGUGUUUCAAAAUGUGCAGGUGUAAAGUUGCUUCUUAAGACAAAAUACUAAGUAUUACUUAAAGAUGCUUAAUAUAUACAGAGUUAAAUUAUGUUAACUGAAUUUGGGGUAAAGUUUAUUUUAUCUAUUAAGACUCUGAAAUUAAAAUACACAUGAGGUCUUGUACAGCAAUAUAAAAUUUUCUUUGUACAUUUAUCUUUAAAUUGCAGAUAUGGUUUCGGUAGCUCUGUAGAGAUGAAAUUUUUUCCUGCUAAAACCACCUGAGGAUGAAAUUAAACAUACUUUAACUGGGUUGUGCCCAUGGGAGGUCUCAGAAGUGUCUGUUUGUAUAAGAAAUUUAUGAAUUGCUUUUCUUACCUCCCGCAGUGCUUCAUGAUGAUGACCUGUAUCGAAGAAAUAUCAAGUGCUUUAUAACUUCCCCGAUUGAAUUUUUAAAGUAAGUGAGAUUAAUAAAAAUAUAACCAAAUGUAGCCUCUUAAAUGAAUGCAAAUGAGAAGAGAUUCACAAAUACUUUUUUCAGUUAUACAAAGCCGUUUACUACUAAUAAGAAUGCAUGCUUUUAUUAGAAGGGUUUGUUGGUAUGUGUAUGUUCAUAUAUUUGUUUAGAAGGAAAAGUAACAAUCUUUUUUGUCACAGCUGUUGAAAUUUGAAAAUCUCAUUUUUUCUUGGAAAUUUCUUUUACUAUUUAUUCAGUUAUUUGUUUGUGGACCAAUAUUACUCAUUA